AACCUUUGCAAUGUGCGCAAGCACGACAAGGUUAAUCCGAGUGUUUCCUGCUAAAGGAAUCUUUUGUUAGUCUUAAAAUCACUAUUGAAUAAGGGGUGGGCAAGUUCUGGUGUCAGCCGCCGCGGUAAAACCAGCACCUCAAGUGGUCAGGAGGAUUAUUGGGCCUAAAGCAUCCGUAGCCUGCUCUGUAAGUUUCCGGUUAAAUCCAUUAGCUCAACUAAUGGCUUGCCGGAAAUACUGUAGAGCUAGGAAGUGGGAGAGGUAGACGGUACUCGGUAGGAAGGGGUAAAAUCCUUUGAUCUAUUGAUGACCACCUGUGGCGAAGGCGGUCUACCAGAACACGUUCGACGGUGAGGGAUGAAAGCUGGGGGAGCAAACCGGAUUAGAUACCCGGGUAGUCCCAGCUGUAAACGAUGCAGACUCGGUGAUGCCCUGGCUUGUGGCCAGUGCAGUGCCGCAGGGAAGCCGUUAAGUUUGCCGCCUGGGAAGUACGUACGCAAGUAUGAAACUUAAAGGAAUUGGCGGGGGAGCAC
rnacentral:rRNA from 1 species